rnacentral:tRNA from 1 species
AGAGAUGUAGCUCAGUGGUAGAGUGCUUACCUAGCAUGUGUGAGACCCUGGAUUCAAUCCCCAAUGUCUCCC